CCCCUUCUCUAUCUUCCUUCUUCUCUGUCAAAUCAGUAGAGGGAAAACGAAGGAAUCGUUGUGCUCGUGAACUGCAGCGAGAGAAUGGGGGACGCUGCUGAUGGAGAUGUUGUUUGCGAAGUUUGUUUGAACCAUUGCGACUAUGAGAUCAAGCAAAGAUGCAUCAGCAUGUAUGUAUGGGAGAACUUUAAAACGCAGGGGUUGUGCCAUGCAAUUAAAGGGUCCACUUCAACAAGAUCACACAAAAGAAGGUGACGUUUAUUGCACUGUAAAGUGUUUGAAGGGUCGCAUACACAACGCAAUGUAUGGCAGUGGUUGGAGGAAAUUUUAUGUAGACAACAAGAUGGUGGUGGUUGCAUGUCCCACAAUAGGCACACAACUGCAACUAGUGUCCUUUCGUUUUGAUAGAGGGACACACAACUAGAUAGU